rnacentral:rRNA from 1 species
GAUGAACGCUGGCGGCGUGCCUAAUACAUGCAAGUCGAGCGAACGGACGAGAAGCUUGCUUCUCUGAUGUUAGCGGCGGACGGGUGAGUAACACGUGGAUAACCUACCUAUAAGACUGGGAUAACUUCGGGAAACCGUAGCUAAUACCGGAUAAUAUUUUGAACCGCAUGGUUCAAAAGUGAAAGACGGUCUUGCUGUCACUUAUAGAUGGAUCCGCGCUGCAUUAGCUAGUUGGUAAGGUAACGGCUUACCAAAGCAACGAUGCAUAGCCGACCUGAGAGGGCGAUCGGCCACACUGGAACUGAGACACGGUCCAGACUCCUACGGGAGGCAGCAGUAGGGAAUCUUCCGCAAUGGGCGAAAGCCUGACGGAGCAACGCCGCGUGAGUGAUGAAGGUCUUCGGAUCGUAAAACUCUGUUAUUAGGGAAGAACAUAUGUGUAAGUAACUGUGCACAUCUUGACGGUACCUAAUCAGAAAGCCACGGCUAACUACGUG